UCUGCUACCUUUGAAAGUCUUUUCGACUCAGAUAAGCGAGUCGAAGAUGUUGAGGAUAUAGUUGAAGUUCCUCCUACGAAUUCAAAAAAAAGAGUUGCUGAAAAUUCAAGUGGAAGCAAAGACAAACAAGCAAGGUUGAGUCUUGUUGAUGUGGAAGAUAAUCAUCUUGAUGCUGAAAAUUAUGGAGUAAUUCCAACUUUUGAUAGUGGAAAUUUUCCAACCAUAGACACUAUUGAUGAUGAUAGUGAUAUAGAGUUGGAUGAUACUGAUUAUUUUUAAGUUAUGUUGUUUUAAUUAUAAGACUUUUUAAAUUGUUGGUAUGGGAUAUUUUGACAUGUAAUGAAUUAUUAUGAUUAAUUUUAGGUUAUGUUAUUUUUA